rnacentral:rRNA from 1 species
GCCUACGACCAAAUCACCCCUAAACCUCCCUGAUCCUGUCAGAUCUGGAACGCUAAGCAUCGGGUAAACCUGGUUAAUACUUGAAUGGGUGACCACCACAUGGCUUGCCAUGUGUUGUAGGCA